GCAUCCCAAAUCUCUGCACAACCCGCUCAAUGUAGCUUUUCUGGCUCAGGAACAAACACAGUUUGUCCUCUCUCUUCUAUCUCCAUACCCAGUAUUUUCUUAGCAGUGCCCAAAUCCUUCAUCUCAAACUCUUUACCAAGUUGAGAUUUCAGUCUAUCUAUCUCCACCUUGCUCUUCGAGGCAAUAAACAUGUCAUCCACAUACAACAAAAGAUAGAUAUACUCACCUCCAGGAAGUCUCCGAAUAUAGACACAACAGUCAUAAUCACUUCUGGAAUAACCAUGCUUCAGCAUGAAAGAAUCAAACCGCUUGUACCACUGUCGAGGAGAUUGCUUCAAUCCAUACAUGGAUUUCCUUAAGCGAUAAACAUGAUCCUCUUUACCCUCAACCUUGUAGCCCUCAGGUUGACGCAUAUAAAUCUCCUCCUCCAAGUCUCCGUGCAGGAAAGCGGUUUUGACAUCGAGUUGUUCCAGCUCAAGAUCACUAUGAGCCACAACACUCAACAACACCCGAAUAGAAGUGUGCUUCACUACUGGAGAGAAAAUCUCAUUGUAGUCCACUCCCUCCUUCUGUGCAUAUCCCUUUGCUACUAACCUUGCCUUGUACCUGAUCCCACCGAGCUCAGAAUUAUCCUCUUUCUUCUUGUAGAUCCACUUACAACCAAUAGCCUUCUUUCCUUUGGGCAAAGGUAGAACCNAUCGAUCUCCAACUAACGGGGGCACCGUGUACACAGAACACAACCCUAGUGAUCAUCGGAAGACCAAUCACCCGAAAAAUACCAGUCCACAAACAACAACAGACAGAUUGCCACUAAAACACAACAUGUGCGAAGAUACCCUUCAAGUACCUAAGGAUCCACUUCACAGCUUCCCAGUGUGUCUUUCCAGGAUUAGCCAUAAACCUGCUCACAACACUAACUGCUUGUGAAAUGUCCGGACGUGUACACACCAUAGCAUACAUCAAACUGCCAACUGCACUAGUGUAAGGCACUUUCUCCAUCAAUUUUUUCUCUUCAGGUGAAGUGGGAGAUAGAUUUCUAGAGAGCCUGAAAUGAGGAGCCAACGGAGUUGCCACCGAUUUUGCAUCUUGCAUCCCAAAUCUCUGCACAACCCGCUCAAUGUAGCUUUUCUGGCUCAGGAACAAAACACAGUUUGUCCUCUAUCUUCUAAUCUCCAUACCCAGUAUUUUCUUAGCAGUGCCCAAAUCCUUCAUCUCAAACUCUUUACCAAGUUGAGAUUUCAGUCUAUCUAUCUCCACCUUGCUCUUCGAGGCAAUAAGCAUGCCAUCCACAUACAACAAAAGAUAGAUAUACUCACCUCCAGGAAGUCUCCGAAUAUAGACACAACAGUCAUAAUCACUUCUGGAAUAACCAUGCUUCAACAUGAAAGAAUCAAACCGCUUGUACCACUGUCGAGGAGAUUGCUUCAAUCCAUACAUGGAUUUCCUCAAGCGAUAAACAUGAUCAUCUUUACCCUCAACCUUGUAGCCCUCAGGUUGACGCAUAUAAAUCUCCUCCUCCAAGUCUCCGUGCAGGAAAGCGGUUUUGACAUCGAGUUGUUCCAGCUCAAGAUCACUGUGAGCCACAACACUCAACAACACCCGAAUAGAAGUGUGCUUCACUACUGGAGAGAAAAUCUCAUUGUAGUCCACUC
rnacentral:lncRNA from 1 species